rnacentral:rRNA from 1 species
AUUGAACGCUGGCGGCAUGCCUUACACAUGCAAGUCGAACGGCAGCACGGGAGCAAUCCUGGUGGCGAGUGGCGAACGGGUGAGUAAUACAUCGGAACGUGCCCAGUCGUGGGGGAUAACUACUCGAAAGAGUGGCUAAUACCGCAUACGACCUGAGGGUGAAAGCGGGGGAUCGCAAGACCUCGCGCGAUUGGAGCGGCCGAUGUCAGAUUAGCUAGUUGGUGGGGUAAAGGCCUACCAAGGCUACGAUCUGUAGUUGGUCUGAGAGGACGACCAGCCACACUGGGACUGAGACACGGCCCAGACUCCUACGGGAGGCAGCAGUGGGGAAUUUUGGACAAUGGGCGCAAGCCUGAUCCAGCAAUGCCGCGUGCAGGAAGAAGGCCUUCGGGUUGUAAACUGCUUUUGUCAGGGAAGAAAUCCUCUGGGUUAAUACCUCGGGGGGAUGACGGUACCUGAAGAAUAAGCACCGGCUAACUACGUGCCAGCCGCCGCGGUAACAC